AGAUAGUGACUAUGCUCCUGGGGAUUUCCAGUAACAACAGAGCUCUGGUUGCCCUUUAUUUGCUCUUUUCCAUCAUUGCAGACCAAAUGGUUGCAGCGAAAAUAGUAAAACUGAAUAUAAACAAAUGGGAGUCUCCUUCAGAAUGUGCAGUCAAAUCUAUAUAUUUUCCAACAAGGCUAGAAGAUAUUCUGCCACCGGUAUAUGUAUCUUCUCCCACUAAUUAGGAAACCCUAAUAAGAACCUUGUUCAUGUAAGGCCUGGGAAUGAGCCACUAACUGAUUCAACAGUCUUCCUUAAGAUAGGAUUGGCUAGUGGAGGAGGCUUGCUGUGAAUGUUUUAUGGUCAGGAUAAUGUCUAGGCACCUAAACAAAUUCUGGUACACCACAUUGGACUAACACUCUUGAGGAUCAUAAUGGAUGUUUCACAUUAGAUACUAAGUUCACUACUCAGAAAUAUAAACAGAAACAGUUAUGCAUUCUUCACUAAUAGUUAUUGUAUGUUAGCUAGUGUGACCCCAUACCAGUCCCACAUAGGAAGUGAGAAGAUAGUGUAUAUAAAGCUAGAUGGGCAUGGGUUUAAGCAUUUUGAGUCAUGUGGAAAAAUGUUCAUUAUAUCCAAGUUUUGUGCCAGUGGAACUAGCACAAGGGAUGUGCACUAAUAAGGUAAGGACUCCCUGUAGAUUACAGAGCCAUCACUAUGACAUGAGCCUGACAAGUCACCUACUAAUAAAUUAUUCAGGGCUACCAAGCCUUUAAGCAGGAGAGAUUGUAACAUCCCAGUUAGUAUCACAUCAAAGAGUAAAAAAUGGGCAUGAUGGUAAGGCUAUCUAGGCUUACUAUUACUAAUGUAUGCUUAAGCAUCUUAGGCCACAUGGUUUAAGGCCAACUGAUUUGGAUUUCAAACCAAUCAACCAACAAGUCCAGUUUGGGACUGAGAGAAACAUGAAAUUACUAGUAGUGGUGGGACCUUGACUGAGAGUAAAUAACAUUAUAACAAUACUACUAUCACACUUAGUAAUGUAAUCAUGCUUCUCAAAUAGAUUAUCUACAUCACCUUUAUGUGCUGAAUGUGCAGGUGUCUAUCUUAUUUUAAGAGCUGUAACUGCAAUGGCUAUUUAUCAUGAAGGCACAUUUCAUAUCCCCAUCCAAGCUUUAUGCUACAUCAUGAUCUUAAUAAGAUCGAUACUUAUACAUAUCACAGGACCCAGAGUUACUAUGAUUUAGUAAAGUAAUAACCAAGGUUCGCAAUACCGUACCGUACCGAUAUUUCGACCUGGGCUCGGUACCGGUACGGUACGGUGUACCGAGCGGUACACCUAGGUGCACCGAGCACUGUAGCACUGCCUUGGUAAUAACCAAGGUAUACAGUUUUGAAUAAUAUCGCCCGGUAUGGGCG
rnacentral:lncRNA from 1 species